rnacentral:rRNA from 1 species
AUAUAAAGAAUCGUGCCUGCCCAAUGAAUAAUAAAAAUUUAAAUGGCUGCAGUACUCUGACUGUACAAAGGUAGCAUAAUAAAUUGCCUUUUAAUUAGAGGCUAGUAUGAACGGCUUGUCGAAGACUAAGCUGUCUCUUUUACAUUAAAUAAAAAUUAACUUUCAGGUGAAGAGGCCUAAGUAAACUUAAAAGACGGAAAGACCCUGUUGAGCUUUAGAAAAUACGGUUAUUAGAAAACUCUUAUUUUCUUUGGUUGGGGCAACAGAAAAACAAAUAUAGCUUUUUCUUAAUAAAUAAAUAUAUAUAUAUUUUGAUCCGCUAAAUUGCGAUAAGAAGAUAAAGUUACCACAGGGAUAACAGCGUUAUCUUUUUAGAAAGUUCCUAUUGAAAAAAAGGUUUACGACCUCGAUGUUGGAUUAAGAAUGCUAGUCAGGUGCAGUAGCUAGACAAAGUUGGUCUGUUCGACC